rnacentral:rRNA from 1 species
AUUGAAGGCUGGCGGCAGGCUUAACACAUGCAAGUCGAGCGGGGGAAGGUAGCUUGCUACCGGACCUAGCGGCGGACGGGUGAGUAAUGCUUAGGAAUCUGCCUAUUAGUGGGGGACAACAUCUCGAAAGGGAUGCUAAUACCGCAUACGUCCUACGGGAGAAAGCAGGGGAUCUUCGGACCUUGCGCUAGUAGAUGAGCCUAAGUCGGAUUAGCUAGUGGGUGGGGUAAAGGCCUACCAAGGCGACGAUCUGUAGCGGGUCUGAGAGGAUGAUCCGCCACACUGGGACUGAGACACGGCCCAGACUCCUACGGGAGGCAGCAGUGGGGAAUAUUGGACAAUGGGGGGAACCCUGAUCCAGCCAUGCCGCGUGUGUGAAGAAGGCCUUAUGGUUGUAAAGCACUUUAAGCGAGGAGGAGGCUACUUUAGUUAAUACCUAGAGAUAGUGGACGUUACUCGCAGAAUAAGCACCGGCUAACUCUGUGCCAGCCGCCGCGGUAA